GACGAACGCUGGCGGCGUGCUUAACACAUGCAAGUCGAACGGAAAGGCCCUGCUUUUGUGGGGUGCUCGAGUGGCGAACGGGUGAGUAACACGUGAGUAACCUGCCCUUGACUUUGGGAUAACUUCAGGAAACUGGGGCUAAUACCGGAUAGGAGCUCCUGCUGCAUGGUGGGGGUUGGAAAGUUUAGGCGGGUGGGGAUGGACUCGCGGCUUAUCAGCUUGUUGGUGGGGUAGUGGCUUACCAAGGCUUUGACGGGUAGCCGGCCUGUGAGGGUGACCGGCCACAUUGCGACUGCGAGACGGCCCAGACGCCUACGGGGGGCAGUAGUGGGGAGUAUUGCACAGUGGGCGGAAGCCUGAUGCAGAAGCGCCGCGUUCGGAAAGACGGCCUGCGGGGUGUGAACCGCUUUCGCCUGUGACGAAGCGUGAGUGACGGUAAUGGGUGAAGAAGCACCGGCUAACUACGUG
rnacentral:rRNA from 1 species